UAGAAAUCGUGCAAAGUUUUAGGCUUGGAUAUGGAAGAAUUGGCAGCGGAGAGAGAAGGCGAUAGUGCGUUUGCGGUGGAAGCCAUGAGGCUGGCUUCCGAUUGCAACAGGGGUUUUGUGGUGAUAAAGGAAAAGAGGUUUUUGAAAAUUGUGGUGUAUGUAUUCUGUAACCAGUGGUCUGGUAAGCAUUUUGAGAUUGAGACUGCUUUUUGCUGGAGAAGCAAGGAAGACAGGAGAGGGAGUUGUGGG
rnacentral:misc_RNA from 1 species